rnacentral:rRNA from 1 species
GAUGAACGCUGGCGGCGUGCCUAAUACAUGCAAGUCGAGCGAACGGACGAGAAGCUUGCUUCUCUGAUGUUAGCGGCGGACGGGUGAGUAACACGUGGAUAACCUACCUAUAAGACUGGGAUAACUUCGGGAAACCGGAGCUAAUACCGGAUAAUAUUUUGAACCGCAUGGUUCAAAAGUGAAAGACGGUCUUGCUGUCACUUAUAGAUGGAUCCGCGCUGCAUUAGCUAGUUGGUAAGGUAACGGCUUACCAAGGCGACGAUGCAUAGCCGACCUGAGAGGAUGAUCGGCCACACUGGAACUGAGACACGGUCCAGACUCCUACGGGAGGCAGCAGUAGGGAAUCUUCCGCAAUGGGCGAAAGCCUGACGGAGCAACGCCGCGUGAGUGAUGAAGGUCUUCGGAUCGUAAAACUCUGUUAUUAGGGAAGAACAUAUGUGUAAGUAACUGUGCACAUCUUGACGGUACCUAAUCAGAAAGCCACGGCUAACUACGUG